AACCUACGGGAGGCAGCAGUGAGGAAUAUUGGUCAAUGGGCGGGAGCCUGAACCAGCCAAGUCGCGUGAGGGACGACGGUCCUAUGGAUUGUAAACCUCUUUUGUCGGGGAACAAAGGCGCCCACGGGUGGGCGGAUGAGUGUACCCGAAGAAAAAGCAUCGGCUAACUCCGUGCCAGCAGCCGCGGUAAUACGUAGGGGGCAAGCGUUAUCCGGAUUUACUGGGUGUAAAGGGGGCGCAGACGGCGAUGCAAGCCAGGAGUGAAAGCCCGGGGCCCAACCCCAGGACUGCUCUUGGAACUGCGU
rnacentral:rRNA from 1 species